rnacentral:rRNA from 1 species
GACGAACGCUGGCGGCGUGCUUAACACAUGCAAGUCGAACGGAAAGGCCCUGCUUUCGCGGGGUGCCCGAGUGGCGAACGGGUGAGUAACAUGUGAGUAACCUGCCCUUGACUUUGGGACAUCUUCAGGAAACUGGGGAUAAUACAGGAUACGAGCUCCUGCUGCAGGGUGGGGGUCGGACCGUUUCGGCGGUUGGGGAUGGACUCGCGGCUAAUCAGCUUGUUGGUGGGGUAGUGGCUUACCAAGGCCUCGACGGCUAGCCGGCCUGGGAGGGUGACCGGCCACAUUGGGACUGAGAUACGGCCCAGACUCCUACAGUAGGCAGCGGUGGGGAGUAUUGCACAGUGGUCGGAAGCCUGAGGCGGCGGCGCCGCGUGCGGGAUGACGGCCUUCGGGUUGUAAACCGCUUUCGCCUGUGACGAAGCGUGAGUGACGGUAAUGGGUAAAGAAGCACCGGCUAACUACGUG